GACGAACGCUGGCGGCGUGCUUAACACAUGCAAGUCGAACGGUGAAGCGCCUUCCUUUUUGGUGGGUGUGGAUGAGUGGCGAACGGGUGAGUAACACGUGAGUAACCUGCCCCCUUCUUCUGGAUAAUCGCAUGAAAGUGUGGCUAAUACGGGAUAUUCUGGGUCUGUCGCAUGAUGGGUCUGGGAAAGAUAUUGUUUCGGUGGGGGAUGGGCUCGCGGCCUAUCAGCUUGUUGGUGGGGUGAUGGCCUACCAAGGCGGUGACGGGUAGCCGGCCUGAGAGGGUGGACGGUCACACUGGGACUGAGACACGGCCCAGACUCCUACGGGAGGCAGCAGUGGGGAAUAGUGCACAAUGGGCGCAAGCCUGAUGCAGCGACGCCGCGUGAGGGAUGGAGGCCUUCGGGUUGUGAACCUCUUUCGCCAGUGAAGCAGGCCUGCCUCGUUUGUGGGUGGGUUGACGGUAGCUGGAGAAGAAGCGCCGGCUAACUACGUG
rnacentral:rRNA from 1 species